CUUCCCCAUCUCCACCCUCUGGUAUUCAUCAGACAGGAGCAACGGCUCAGCCACGUUCCACUCCACUGAGAGGGUCCUGCAGAGCCUGGCCUGAGAAGGAUGGGGAAGCCACCUGUGUGGACGCUGUCUGCACCCACCGCCCUGACCCCGUGGGCCUCCAUGCCUCUGUGCUGGGAGCUGAGAGUCUCCACGUGUCUGCUCUUCCUCUCGGUGGCUCCAGGCUCUGCACCCUGGAAUUUAUGCAUGCAGAGAGAACACCAGCUGCAUUUCCGCAGCAUCAGCUGGAACCACAGCAACCUGGAGCCCACAUCCUCGGAGUACGCCACCCUGCUGAGGGACACCCAGGACCAGUAACCACACUGGAGUGGACUCCCUGUGUACCUUGCCGCCUUGGCACAGAGACUGGACAGAGUUGCCAUCUAUGAGGAAUUCCUGUGGCUGACCCAGAAUGGUACCCAGCUGCAGAACUUGACC